UACGGGAGGCAGCAGUGGGGAAAUUGGACAAUGGGCGAAAGCCAGAUCCAGCCAUGCCGCGUGUGUGAAGAAGGUCUUCGGAUUGUAAAGCACUUUAAGUUGGGAGGAAGGGCCAUUACCUAAUACGUGAUGGUUUUGACGUUACCGACAGAAUAAGCACCGGCUAACUCUGUGCCAGCAGCCGCGGUAA
rnacentral:rRNA from 2 species